UCUGAUUGCAACUGCAGCUGCUGCUGAUGAAUUAAUUGCAACGCUGUCGUUUCCACAUUACUGUGGCUAUUAAGACGUUCCAUUCCGUCACUUAUUUUAUCGACAAAAUAAUCAGCCACAUCUCUCGUUUUCUGCAGCUACCUACAGUAAGUAGGGACAAGAGUCGCGUUGUGUUAAAUCGAAUCGAUUAAACAAAACCUGAACAUAUUACAGGCAAUUAUUAAAACAAUAAAUUGCGCUAAUAACUUUGUGUUGUCUUUAAUCUGCAUAACUAUCCCUACCUGUAUGUAAAUUUGAAAUGACACUGGUCACGUGUAUUAUUAUUAAGUUAUAAAACGGCAGAACAUUUUUUGUGUGCCACUCUGAUACUAGUCGAGCUGAUCAUGAAAAUUGUAGUACUGUUGUCGGGAGUGUUGGUGGCCCUUCUAGGACUGGCGGCGGCCGUCUAUGCUCCCCCAGGGCACAUGCUAGGACUGGCGCCACCCGUCAGUGCUCCCCCAGGGCACCUUCUACAAUCUGAACUAUGCGGAUGUCCACCAACAAAGGAAUUUUGCUCCAGCUACGACCAUAAGACUUAUCACAGCAUGUGCGAGUUUGAGUGCGUACACGGACCUGGAUUAACGGGCUGGACAGUACUCAACUACGGGCCGUGCAAGUCACGCUAACGGGGUUGAAAAUGAAAGCACUAACGUAACAGAUUUUUUUUGGUAGCAGAAAAGCAACAUUUUUAAAUGCUGUUCUUACAUAAAAUACGAAUAACAAGAUGUCUUAAUAUUACUUAUGCUCAUUUGGAAGUAAAAAAAUAAAAAACACCUUCUUCUUCAAUCUUUUCGCACCAGAUUGGAGUCGCAAAUAUGUUGUCAGAAAUGUUUUGUUUAAAUUUAGGUAAAAUAUAGGCUUAGGGAAGUUUUUAACUGUUCCUACAUACUAUGUAUUUGUGUUGCCGUUACUACCUAGCUACUCAAAGAGUUUACGAUUAAAAAGUUAAAAUACGUA